rnacentral:sRNA from 1 species
UGACCACUUUCCACAGGAGAGUUAAGGCCAUACGGACAGCCGGGUCAAAUGCCGA